rnacentral:lncRNA from 1 species
UUUCUCAACACUGAGGGUGCUGGACUUUAUCUACUUCAAAGUAAGAUUAAUCACAGUUGUGUACCAAACGCUCAUUCGACAUUUUCUUAUACUACAAACGACAUAGUGAGCGCCGCAGACAUUCGAGACAAAAAAAAUAUUUCUUUCAGACAUGUGCUGCAAUUCGUUUUCGCAUGAAAUUUUUAUAGAAAACGUGACACCAUGUGCUGAAUUUCACUGUUCCGUUUUCAAACCUCAAUCGUAUCAUAUUUAACAUGUGACAGAAAUCGAAUUCGUCAUAUUUUUUCCGUUUUGAAAUCGGUCGGCCGUGAGCACACGCAAAAUAUAUUUGAUUGUAAAAAAGUUGAAAAAAUCACCCGGAUAUAGCGAAAAAUUUUGUUAAGGGCGACCGCGCGGCAAUGGAGGCUUUUUGCUGGCGAAAAAGCUUAAUUGCUAUAAAUGGCUGGAAGAAAGUCUGGUCGGACUGUAAAGAAAAAAUUGCACACAAUAAAUGCGAGACAAUAGCCUCCGGUGGAGUUCAGUUUAACCAGUUCGUUUUAACAUCAACGAAAGAAAAAAUUGCUGAACUAGCCGGUAUAUUUACGAGUGCUGAAGGGAUUCCCAAAAUGUUUUUUUUUUUCAGUAUAAAUGAAAAUUCUGAUCCCUCGGAUGAAGAAAAUAUUGUGCCGAGUGCGUCAGAAAGUACGUCAAUACCCCAAAAACGUCUUCGGCAAGACUCGAUUCAAGAUUGCAUAAGGUAAAAUAUCGUAAAGGAGGCAGGUGCGGUUGAAAAGUUGUCUGGGACAUUGGGGCAUCUUCUCAAAAGUUUCAGAGAAACUUCAACAAUUUUAAAAGAAGCGAAUCAUUUCGGUAUUUCGGUACAAUAAAAACACUCAUAUUCACAAAAAUAUUUCACACAAAAUUGUUAUUGAAUGUCAGUUGUUUGACUAUCAGCUCUUUCGAAUUUAAGUUCGAAUCAGAAAAAAAUCGUGUGAAUUUUAUCAUACCUCAAAUCAAUUCCUACGAUUUGCAAUUUCGGUGUCAAAAUGAAAUCGCGCGAUUUCCAGCACAUGCCGGUUUAUAUUAUUUAUAUCACCAUAAAAGACUUUUCAACGUUAUUUCGUAUGUUUCAAAACUAGGAUGCAUGCACCACCUGAGCUUGCGUGCUAAAAGUGGUGUGCACGAUUUAAAAGUGGUGAUUUUGACUUAAUAGACUAAGAACGUCCUGGGCUGGGCGGCAUUACUCGAUAAAUAUUGCUACAAACAUAAGAAACCCUCACAGAGUCUUUGGGAGUCACUCAUACCCGAGCCAGACAUGUGGUAACAAUACCAUAGUAAAGGUACCACGGUAUUCUGUUUACUACGUUGAUGACACACAUGGCAAUGUAGUAAACUCAAAUACCAGCUUUCAGAAGCAUUAAAUAUUUAAUCUAUUUUCAUCGCAAAAAAAGUGAUUUGGUUAAAGCUUCUCUAAAAUCCUCACACAAAAUAAGGUAUUUCCUGCUUUUCCGGAAGAAAAAUUGUGAAAAAUGUUUUGUUUUCCAUUUCAUUAAUUAAUUUUUUAACUAAUUUUGACAGAAUAUUUCGAAGAUCUUUUGUCUAAAAGCUUUUAGCAAAGUUUGUUACCUGUUUUUUAGGUGUUUAUAGAAAUACCACAAUGAAACAUCAUAGGAUUGUUACCAGCAAAAUACUACAUUGCUCAUAUGGUAUUUUGCUAGUAUUUGGUGACACACAUUGGUAUUUGUAGCAUAUAUGGUAUUUUUACUAUGUACAUGUCUGUCUCGGGUAUCAGGCAGCUUUGCCAAAACGUUUACGUAUAAAUGCAGUUUGAAGGCAUUAGAAAUAACUCAGUUUGCUUGUUUGUGACUAGUGAUGAAGAAUGGAUCCAUUAUGGCAGGGGUGGG